rnacentral:rRNA from 1 species
UAUUGGACAAUGGGCGAAAGCCUGAUCCAGCCAUGCCGCGUGUGUGAAGAAGGUCUUCGGAUUGUAAAGCACUUUAAGUUGGGAGGAAGGGCAUUAACCUAAUACGUUAGUGUUUUGACGUUACCGACAGAAUAAGCACCGGCUAACUCUGUGCCAGCAGCCGCGGUAAUACAGAGGGUGCAAGCGUUAAUCGGAAUUACUGGGCGUAAAGCGCGCGUAGGUGGUUUGUUAAGUUGGAUGUGAAAUCCCCGGGCUCAACCUGGGAACUGCAUUCAAAACUGACUGACUAGAGUAUGGUAGAGGGUGGUGGAAUUUCCUGUGUAGCGGUGAAAUGCGUAGAUAUAGGAAGGAACACCAGUGGCGAAGGCGACCACCUGGAUUAAUACUGACACUGAGUGCGAA